rnacentral:rRNA from 1 species
UACGAGGGGGGCAAGCGUUGUUCGGAAUUAUUGGGCGUAAAGGGUGCGUAGGCUGCGCAGCAAGUUGGGUGUGAAAUCCCUCGGCUUAACCGAGGAACUGCGCCCAAAACUGCUGUGCUCGAGGGAGAUAGAGGUGAGCGGAACUUAGGGUGGAGCGGUGAAAUGCGUUGAUAUCCUAAGGAACACCGGUGGCGAAAGCGGCUCACUGGAUCUCUUCUGACGCUGAGGCACGAAAGCUAGGGUAGCGAACGGG